ACCGAGGAAGUGCGCCCGAAACUAGCUGGCUUGAGUACCGGAGAGGAUGGCGGAAUUCCCGGUGUAGAGGUGAAAUUCGUAGAUAUCGGGAGGAACACCAGCGGCGAAGGCGGCCAUCUGGACGGAUACUGACGCUGAGACGCGAAAGCGUGGGGAGCAAACAGGAUUAGAUACCCUGGUAGUCCACGCCGUAAACGAUGGGUGCUAGGUGUCACGGGCAUUGACUCCCGUGGUGCCGUAGCAAACGCAUUAAGCACCCCGCCUGGGAAGUACGGCCGCAAGGCUGAAACUCAAAGGAAUUGACGGGGGCCCGCACAAGCGGUGGAGCAUGUGGUUUAAUUCGACGCAACGCGAAGAACCUUACCUGGGCUUGAACUGCUGGUGUAGGAUCCUGAAAGGGACCCGAGCCUGG
rnacentral:rRNA from 1 species